rnacentral:other from 1 species
AAUUGUCUAUUAUGUUUGUAAUUAGCUCUAUCCCCUGAGCCGAUAAAUAAAUAAAUAGGAUAUGAGAUGGAUUGCUAUUGAGCAAGCCCGCCUUGCACUCUCAGAAAUUUUCUGCGUGGUGUUGGAAGUGGGAAGCCUGCGGUAAUUCUCGACUUUCCGCCUUGAACCUUACUGGUUCAGGUUUUUGCCAAUUGCGACAUAAUAGACCCAAA